UGAAUGUUCCCACUCCUGUGCCCUUCAUUUACAGGAAGAGGAAGAAACAGGAGGAUUACUAAAGAGAGCAUGACUCUUUUUCCAGACAGUUGUUCCAGCUAUGAGAACUACAGCGUCACUUGGCAAAGAAUGUCCCUUCAGUCCUCAGAGACGAUGACACUGCAGGAAGACCUCACCUCCUCACAGUUCCGGAAGCCUUAUAAGAAACCUGGCUGUACCUGUUCACUACACCUUAGGAGCUUCCAGUGACUGCUUGACCACUUCACGUAUAAUGAAUAACUGAUUCCUAAUAGCAGAAGAAAGUGUCUGGAAACAGAAAAAGGAAAAGAAAAGACCCUAUCCUGAAGACAUCGAUUAGGGUAGAAGUGUAAAUACAGUCAGCAAACCAGAAGCUGACAAAUGGCUAACUGUCAUGAAUAGAAAUGAUGUGAGUCAGAGGCAAGCAGUGGAAAGCACAAGGUUUGCUAAGCACAUAGCAGAUAACAUCAAAACCUCUGAAAAACUAAAACAUAAAAGCUACAACCGUGAUCCUUUCUGAGAGGGAAAGUUCAAGGUACUAAAAGGCCUUGAUCUCUAAGAGAUUUCCACUCUUGAAAUAAAGAACCAGGAUUUUUCAAGUAUUA
rnacentral:lncRNA from 1 species